rnacentral:rRNA from 1 species
GAUGAACGCUAGCUACAGGCUUAACACAUGCAAGUCGAGGGGCAUCGCAGUGUAGCAAUACAUGGGCGGCGACCGGCGCACGGGUGCGUAACGCGUAUCCAACCUUCCCGUUACUCAGGGAUAGCCUUCCGAAAGGGAGAUUAAUACCUGAUGGUAUCAGAAUUUCGCAUGUUAUUCUGAUUAAAGAUUUAUCGGUAACGGAUGGGGAUGCGUGACAUUAGGUAGAUGGCGGGGUAACGGCCACCAUGCCUACGAUGUCUAGGGGUUCUGAGAGGAAGGUCCCCCACACUGGAACUGAGACACGGUCCAGACUCCUACGGGAGGCAGCAGUGAGGAAUAUUGGUCAAUGGUCGGAAGGCUGAACCAGCCAAGUAGCGUGAAGGAUGAAGGUUCUAUGGAUUGUAAACUUCUUUAUACGGGAAUAAAACCACCUACGUGUAGGUGCUUGUAUGUACCGUAUGAAUAAGCAUCGGCUAACUCCGUGCCAGCAGCCGC